GACGAACGCUGGCGGCGUGCUUAACACAUGCAAGUCGAACGGAAAGGCCCCAUUGGUGGUACUCGAGUGGCGAACGGGGGAGUAACACGGGAGUAACCUGCCCUUGACUUCGGGAUAACUUCAGGAAACUGGGGCUAAUACCGGAAAGGAAUCUUUUCUGCAUGGAGGGGGUUGGAAAGCUUGAGGGGUUUUUGAUGGACUCGCGGCUUAUAGGUGUGUUGGUGGGUGAGUGGCUUACCAAGGAGGUGACGGGUAGCCGGCCGCAGGGGGCGACCGGCCUCCGUGGGACUGAGGACCGGCCCAGAGUCCUACCGGAGGCGGCAGGGGGCAAUAUUGCACAAUGGGCGGUAGCCUGAUGCAGCAACGCCGCGCGCGGGAGGAUGGCCUUGGGGUUGUAAUCCGAAUUCAGCAGGGGCGAAGCUUGUGGUGACGGUACCUUAAGAAGAAGCACCGGCUAACUACGUG
rnacentral:rRNA from 1 species